rnacentral:rRNA from 1 species
GGGUUGUGAGGUUAAGCGACUAAGCGUACACGGUGGAUGCCCUGGCAGUCAGAGGCGAUGAAGGGCGUGCUAAUCUGCGAUAAGCGCCGGUAAGGUGAUAUGAACCGUUAUAACCGGCGAUACCCGAAUGGGGAAACCCAGUGUGACUCGUCACACUAUCAUUAACUGAAUCCAUAGGUUAAUGAGGCGAACCGGGGGAACUGAAACAUCUAAGUACCCCGAGGAAAAGAAAUCAACCGAGAUUCCCCC